rnacentral:rRNA from 1 species
AACGAACGCUGGCGGCAUGCCUAACACAUGCAAGUCGAACGAGACCUUCGGGUCUAGUGGCGCACGGGUGCGUAACGCGUGGGAACCUGCCCUUAGGUUCGGAAUAACUCCCCGAAAGGGGUGCUAAUACCGGAUAAUGUCUUCGGACCAAAGAUUUAUCGCCUUUGGAUGGGCCCGCGUUGGAUUAGCUAGUUGGUAGGGUAAAAGCCUACCAAGGCGACGAUGCAUAGCUGGUCUGAGAGGAUGCUCCGCCACACCGGGACUGAGACACGGCCCAGACUGCUACGGGAGGCAGCAGUGGAGAGUACUGGGCGAUGGGCGAAAGCGUGAUGCAGCAAUGCCGCGUGAGUGAUGAAGGCCUUAGGGUUGUAAAGCUCUUUUACCCGGGAUGAUAAUGACAGUACCGGGAGAAUAAGCACCGGCUAACUACGUG